CACAGUCAGAGAAUAGAAAAAGACGUCCCUAAGCUUUCUGUUGACAUACUACAUUGUAAACUGCCAGAAAAAACGUUACUUAAAAAUAACAUUAAAAUUCUGCCUUGGCUGGUUUGUGGUAGCUAACAGGGACGUCUGAUUCUGAUUAGCGUUUAAUAGCAAAAUCGGCUCAGUGAUAAAAGCCAUACAGCCUUAUAGAACCUUUCAACAAAAGAUUAGCUUGAAUUAUAAACUACAUAAACGGGCUGUCUGCUACUGGGUUUCGAAACUGACGGUUUGAGAAAGACUAAAAAGUGUAAAAAUGCCUUCAGCAUUCACCCCAUGGGUUUGUCAGUACCCAUUUGAGAAGGACACAUGGAGGGUUCAGGAAGGUCAGAAUAAUAAUAAAAAAAAAAAAAUUGAAGGAAAAAGGGGAGGAAAAAUAAAUGCGCACAACAAUCCACAAAGCUUUCGUGUUUUUUAUUUAAUAAAUAAGUCAUAAACAGAACAGGGAGAAAAUGUGUAUUGAAAAAAGGCACUUUGAAAUCAAUACUAUAAAGGUGUGUAUGUGUAGUAUUUUAAAGGCAUUUUUGUGUGAAAGCAUUUAGAGCUGAUUGUGUUGAUGUGUGAACACAUGCUGUGAUAAUACUAUGUAGUCUGCAUACAAACAAACAAACAAAAAACAGAUAACCUCACGCACAUACAUUGAAUUGUGGUACAUGGGGACAUUAAAAGGUUUUUGGUAUAAAUGAUAGUAACCACAAGAGAGGA